UACGGGGGGGGCAAGCGUUGUUCGGAAUUACUGGGCGUAAAGGGCUCGUAGGCGGCCAACUAAGUCGGAUGUGAAAUCCCCAGGCUCAACCGGGGAACUGCGUCUGAUACUGGAUGGCUUGAGUUCGGGAGAGGGAUGCGGAAUUCCAGGUGUAGCGGUGAAAUGCGUAGAUAUCUGGAGGAACACCGGUGGCGAAGGCGGCAUCCUGGACCGGUAUUGACGCUGAGGCGCGAAAGCCAGGGGAGCAAACGGG
rnacentral:rRNA from 1 species